ensembl:lncRNA
ACCUGUCACGCACCCCUUUAUUAAAGGUGAACACAAUGGGUUUGGUUUACUUUUCGCAUCGGCCUGUGUCAAUCGAGGUUGAGUUUAGUGAGGGUUGAAAGUUUUCGAUCUAGAUUGCAGAUCACUAUUGUCACUUUAUACAAACUGAAAGUAUGCGUUGUUGCGUGUUUGUUUUUGUGGGCAUUUGACUGAACAGCCCAGACAAAUAUUGCUACCAACAUGGCACAGACCAACGCAGUGUUAGAUGACUGACAAGAUCUAUGGGGGGGCCCCCUUUGGGCCCCCCCAUACCAACUUAGUCUUCAAAGGAAUCUAGUGCCAUGGGACUCCAGUGUCUUCAAAACAUCCUCGGAAUACAUGUGUAUGAUUGGUCCACCGAAGGGUUGAUCUGGAAGCCACCAUGGUCCACGCAGUAAUCUGCUGCGUGGGCCGUGGUGGCUUCCAGAGCCAUCUUUCGGUCUUGGUCAGGAUUUGUUACAGUUGCCCUUCAAUGUAGCAGGCUACGGGUUUCUGAAGAAGCCUGCUUUACGUAGCAUUGGAGUACAAAUAUUGUGCAAAAUGCUCAUGUAAUUGCACUAGCACUGGUAACCUGAAGUUUAGCUUAGUUUAACGUCAUUCGGUGCUGUCUGUCCAACCCGGUAUCACGCGAUUGCGUGCUCAUGCGCAGAAUUUUGUUUUUAACUUUGUGCUGUUAAACAGAGAAGAUGGUCCCCUCUUGGAUUGUACAGAAUGACAGAAGUCCCCUCUUUGCCUGUUCAAAAUGACACUGGUCUCCUGUUAAAUGGUAUGGAGCGACACUUACACUCCAGCAUUUAUGUAUUCAUCAGGGUAGAAAAAAAUGUUAACUGCUUUCUCUCUAGUACAAAAUAAAUAAUUUGCCAUAGAGCCUUUACACAGUUCUUCUAUAGUUCAUAAGAGACAUUUUGUCAUGAGGAAAAAAGACUUAUAGAUAACAGGGCUAACUAGGGCUGUCAAUCAAUAAAAAUAUUUAAUCGUGAUUAAUCGCAUUAUUGUCCAUAUUUAACUUGCAAAUUGCAAAUUAAUCGCCCAUUUUUUAACCCUUCUAAAUAUAUCUUAAAAGAUGAUUAUAGAUUAUUGAUGAGGAUUACAUUUAUUCUUUUCCACACUUCAUGAAUAGAUCCAUGCAGGAGUGAGGGUCGCUCCAUACCAUUUAACAGGGGACUUCGUUCAUGUUUUACAAUCCAAGUGGGGACCAUCUUUUAUAUUUUCUCUUGUAAACGCAUUGACAGAAGCAACAGUUGUAGUUGGCAAACACUCAUUGAGUGAAACAAUAGGCACAGACAGCUCCCUUGCUGCAGUGAAUGGAGCCCCUCUUUGAUAUGUAAAUAUCGCUUAAGUAUUCAAGUCCCCUCUUGGCAACUUCUUUAAAAGAAAUCAAAAAAACACAUUUGAAGUUAUAUUAUGACAAAAUAACUUAAAACUAAACUCUGUAUUAUGUUUUUGUAUUUUUUAAAUGACCAGAAAUAGAGGUCCACACUUGGUCGAUGAAAACCGAUAGUCCCCUGUUGGUAGGGUAAACGUGUGUGUGUGUGUGUGUGUGUGUGUGUGUGUGUGU